rnacentral:snoRNA from 1 species
CACAAUGUCUUUUAUUGAUAGACACCCAGAGUCACGGUUCGUCCAGGAUGAAAUAUGCCAGUGGACGUAUAUAUUUUACUCAGUAAGAUAUACGGUAAGGUACUAGUUGCUUUACUGCCGUGCUCGCGGUUGAUCUUAGAAUAAUCCUUUUUUGGAAUUUGAAAAGUAUCUACGCUAGAACUGUGAAUCAAUAUAAGUUAUGAUUAGAUAUUUCUUCACGUACAAAU